UGAAUACGAGACGCUAAGGCGUCGAAGUAGUGUAUAUCAGACUUCCAAGAAAAGCUUGCACUGUCAUAGAUAAAAAAUGCCUGUACCAUAACCGACACAGGUGGGUAGGUAGAGUAUACUAAGGGGCGCGAGAUAACUCUCUCUAAGGAACUCGGCAAAAUAACUCCGUAACUUCGGGAGAAGGAGUGCCUUAUUUAUAAGGUUGCAAUAACAAGAUCCAAGCAACUGUUUAUCAAAAACACAGGUCUCCGCUAAGUCGUAAGACGAUGUAUGGGGGCUGACGCCUGCCCAGUGCCAGAAGGUUAAAGAAGUUGGUUAGCAAUUGCGAAGCUGAUAACUGAAGCCCUGGUGAACGGCGGCCGUAACGAUAACGGUCCUAAGGUAGCGAAAUUCCUUGUCGGGUAAGUUCCGACCCGCACGAAAGGCGUAAUGAUUUGGAUACUGUCUCGGAGAGGGGCUCGGUGAAAUAGACUUGUCUGUGAAGAUGCGGACUACCUGCACCAGGACAGAAAGACCCUAUGAAGCUUUACUGUAACUUGAAAUUGAAAUUGGACUUUAUUCGCGCAGCAUAGGUGGGAGGCGUUGAUUAUAAUCUUGCGGGAUUAUUGGAGCCAUCAGUGAGAUACCACUCUUGUAAUGUUAGAUUUCUAACUUUGAAUCAUUAUCUGGUCAAAGAACAGUUUCAGGCGGGCAGUUUGACUGGGGCGGUCGCCUCCUAAAUGGUAACGGAGGCGUACAAAGGUUUCCUCUGAACGGUUAGAAAUCGUAUCUAGAGUGUAAAGGCAUAAGGAAGCUUGACUGUGAGACCUACAAGUCGAGCAGGGACGAAAGUCGGUCUUAGUGAUCUGACGGUACUGAGUGGAAAGGCCGUCACUCAACGGAUAAAAGUUACUCUAAGGAUAACAGGCUGAUCUCCCCCAAGAGUUCACAUCGACGGGGAGGUUUGGCACCUCGAUGUCGGCUCAUCGCAUCCUGGGGCGGUAGUACGUCCCAAGGGUUGGGCUGUUCGCCCAUGAAAGCGGUACGCGAGCUGGGUUCAGAACGUCGUGAGACAGUUCGGUCCAUAUCCGGUGUAGGCGUUAGAAUAUUGAGAGGAGCCUUCUUUAGUACGAGAGGACCGAGAAGGACAUACCUCUGGUGUACCAGUUAUCGUGCCAACGGUAAACGCUGGGUAGCUAUGUAUGGAGUGGAUAACCGCUGAAAGCAUCUAAGUGGGAAGCCCACCUCAAGAUAAGUAUUCC
rnacentral:rRNA from 1 species